UCUAGUGGCGGACGGGUGAGUAACGCGUGGGUAACCUGCCUUAUACAGGGGGAUAACAGUCAGAAAUGGCUGCUAAUACCGCAUAAGCGCACAGAGCUGCAUGGCUCAGUGUGAAAAACUCCGGUGGUAUAAGAUGGACCCGCGUUGGAUUAGCUAGUUGGUGAGGUAACGGCCCACCAAGGCGACGAUCCAUAGCCGGCCUGAGAGGGUGAACGGCCACAUUGGGACUGAGACACGGCCCAGACUCCUACGGGAGGCAGCAGUGGGGAAUAUUGCACAAUGGGGGAAACCCUGAUGCAGCGACGCCGCGUGAAGGAAGAAGUAUCUCGGUAUGUAAACUUCUAUCAGCAGGGAAGAAAAUGACGGUACCUGACUAAGAAGCCCCGGCUAACUACGUGCCAGCAGCCGCGGUAAUACGUAGGGGGCAAGCGUUAUCCGGAUUUACUGGGUGUAAAGGGAGCGUAGACGGAUGGACAAGUCUGAUGUGAAAGCCCGGGGCUCAACCCCGGUACUGCAUUGGAAACUGUCGUACUAGAGUGUCGGAGGGGUAAGUGGAAUUCCUAGUGUAGCGGUGAAAUGCGUAGAUAUCGGGAGGAACACCAGUGGCGAAGGCGGCCUACUGGGCACCAACUGACGCUGAGGCUCGAAAGUGUGGGUAGCAAACAGGAUUAGAUACCCUGGUAGUCCACACCGUAAACGAUGAUUACUAGGUGUUGGAGGAUUGACCCCUUCAGUGCCGCAGUUAACACAAUAAGUAAUCCACCUGGGGAGUACGACCGCAAGGUUGAAACUCAAAGGAAUUGACGGGGGCCCGCACAAGCAGUGGAGUAUGUGGUUUAAUUCGACGCAACGCGAAGAACCUUACCAAGUCUUGACAUCCUGCGACAAUGCUAGAAAUAGUAUUUUCCUUCGGGACGCAGAGACAGGUGGUGCAUGGUUGUCGUCAGCUCGUGUCGUGAGAUGUUGGGUUAAGUCCCGCAACGAGCGCAACCCUUAUGGUCAGUUACUACGCAAGAGGACUCUGGCCAGACUGCCGUUGACAAAACGGAGGAAGGUGGGGAUGACGUCAAAUCAUCAUGCCCUUUAUGACUUGGGCUACACACGUACUACAAUGGCGUUAAACAAAGAGAAGCAAGACCGCGAGGUGGAGCAAAACUCAGAAACAACGUCCCAGUUCGGACUGCAGGCUGCAACUCGCCUGCACGAAGUCGGAAUUGCUAGUAAUCGUGGAUCAGCAUGCCACGGUGAAUACGUUCCCGGGCCUUGCACACACCGCCCGUCA
rnacentral:rRNA from 1 species